rnacentral:rRNA from 1 species
UACGUAGGGUGCGAGCGUUAAUCGGAAUUACUGGGCGUAAAGCGUGCGCAGGCGGUUCGCCAAGUCAGGUGUGAAAUCCCCGGGCUUAACCUGGGAAUUGCGCUUGAAACUAGCGGGCUUGAGUGCGGCAGAGGGGGGUGGAAUUCCACGUGUAGCAGUGAAAUGCGUAGAGAUGUGGAGGAACACCGAUGGCGAAGGCAGCCCCCUGGGUCGACACUGACGCUCGAUGCACGAAAGCGUGGGGAGCAAACAGG